CAGACACGGCUGAUAUUCCGCCUGAGCACACAUCAUGCUAGGAUCAGGUGACAUUAGGGAAAUCUCAUUGGUUCCUGAAAUUGAGGGCUAUGACGCUUUGUGGCAGUGCUGCGAACUGAAGGCGGCGAUACUAAGAAGACAUCUGGUCUCUGGAGGGUCUUAAACUUAGGUGAAUCCAACCUCAGAUGAAGAACAUCACAACAGGUUUCACAGGUUCAUUAG